ACUUGGACGCAGGUGGAGACAUGGAGCUGCCGGAAUGGUGCAAACUGCUGCCCAAGAUCGAGCUCCAUGCCCACCUCAAUGGCUCCGUCAGAGAUUCAACCCUGCUAGAGCUUGCAAAAGUAUUGGGAGAUGAAGGUGUCAUUAAUUUUGAAGAUGUAGUACA